GAAAGUUUGGUUCCGCAAAUGGUAAUAGAACGCCACUGAAGAAAAAGGCUGAAUUGGCAGCAGCAGCGGCUUCGUCACCGCCAACUGUCGCUGAAUCGGUCCCGUUUCAGUUUUUAUAUAGUCAUGGCUGCUUCUUCCUCGGCUUCUCACUCUCCCAAGCAAUGGAAGUAUGAAGUUUUCUUGAGCUUCAGAGGUCAAGGCGCUUGCAAUUAUUUUACCAGCCGUCUCUAUUCGUCUAUGCGUCGUAAAUUUAUAAAUACCUAUGGAGAUGAUAAACUUAUCAGAGGAGGAAAAGAGAUAACAUUAGAGCUUUUGGAAGUGAUUGAAGAGUCAAAGAUUGCUGUAAUUGUUUUCUCCAAAGACUUUGCUUCUUCAACAUUAUGCUUGGAUGAAGUGGUUCAGAUAAUUAAAUGCAGUGAAACUCAUGGACAGAUAGUCGUACCGGUGUUCUUCCAGGUAGAUCCGUUGGACGUGGAGAACCAAACUGGGAGUUUCGAGUCAGCUUUUGUUAAACAUGAAAUCCACAAUUUUGACAGGGUGCAGAAGUGGAAGGCUGCUUUGUCCAAAGCGGCUAAAAUUGCAGGAUGGAACUCCAUGCUCCACGAGAUAGACGCCUGGCUUGUUUAUAAAAUUGUAGAAGAUAUUAUGAAAAAAUUGAACCAAUGUCCAUAUAAUCCAGAGUGCUUGGUGGGAAUUAAUUCACGCAUUGAUGAAAUCACAAAACUACUUUCCAAUGAGUCAAAAGAUGUCCGCAUAUUAGGACUUUGGGGAAUGGGCGGCAUAGGCAAAACAACCCUUGCCAAAGCUGUUUUCAAGAAGAUAUCAUGUGGAUUUGAAAGCUGCUGCUUUCUUGAAAAUGUGAAGGACAAUUAUGAAAGAGAUGGUGGUUAUUACUUAUUAAAGGAACUUCUUUUUCAAAUUUCAGGAGAAAAAUGUGUUGGUAUUAGAAUUUUUAAUAUCAUGCGCUCUCCUUCUAUCAGAAGAAAGAUAAAUAAAAAGGUCCUGAUUGUUGUGGAUGAUGUGAAUAGAACACAACAAUUUGAAUUUUUUGAAAAGAAUCGCUGUUUCUUUGGCAGAGGAAGCCGAAUCCUCGUAACCAGCAGAGACAAACAAAUGCUUUUGAGCAGUGUCGAUGACUUAUACGAAGUUGAGGAAUUAGAUUUAUUUGAGGCUCUAACACUUUUGAGGCAGAAUGCCUUGAAGAAAAUCUCUCCAGUAGAAGAUUAUUGGUAUAUAUUAUCUCUCUAUGUUAAAUAUGCUAAUAGAAAUCCUUUGGCUCUAAAAGUCUUAGGUUCCUUUUUAUCUGGCAAGAACCGAAGAGAUUGGAAAUGUGUUCUAGAUAACCUGAAAAGGAGUCCUAUUAGAGGUGUUCAGGAUGUCCUGAAAAUUAGUUUCGAUGACCUUGAUGAUGAUGAAAAGGAUAUCUUUCUUUAUAUUGCAUGUUUUUUUAGAGGACGUAGUAGUGAAGAGGUGACAAGAAUCCUUAGAUGCUGUGGCUUGAAUGUAGAUAUUGGGUUAUGUGUUCUCAUGGAUAAAUCUCUUAUAGAGCUGGAAAAAAUUUCUGGCAACAUAGAAAUGCAUGACAUGCUGCAACAAAUGGGCAAGGAAAUUGUUCUCCAAGAAUCUAGAGAGCCAUCAAAAAGGAGCAGACUAUGGGAUCAUGAAGAUAUUGUUAGUGUGCUCACAAAAAAUAAUGCAACUGAUGCAAUUGAAGCAAUAUUCCUGGACAUGUCCAAAAUUGAAGCGAUAGACUUAAAUCCAGAUGUUUUUAAGGAGAUGCCCCAUCUAAAAUUACUCUCAUUUUCCUAUGGGUCUGAAACAGAUACAGGUGAUAAGGUGCGCCUUCCUAAAGGCCUGCAAAGUUUCCCCAGCGAGCUGCGAUAUUUGUACUGGCAUGGGUACCCAUUGGAAACUCUGCCACCCAAUUUUCAUCAGCUGAAAAUUGUAGAGCUUCACUUGCCUUACAGCAAACUGAAAAUGCCACCAAGCGGAGACAUGAUCAAAAGCUUGCAAUUAGUUGACCUCGAUCACUCCAGCUGCAUUGUCAAAGUUCCAGAGCUUACGUUGGCUGCAAAUCUUCUUGUGCUAAAACUGUCUGGUUGUGAAAGAAUGAGAAGUUUUCCGAGUACGAUUGGUUUAAUGUCUCUUGAAGGUCUAGACCUUUCCGGGUGCUUGGGACUCGAGGCAUUUCCAGAGGUUUCAAGGAACCUAAAAGCCCUGGUUUUAAGUAAUACCGCAAUAAAAGAAGUCCCAGCAUCACUCGGCUCCCUAAGCAGGCUGGGUUUUUUGAAUUUGGAAAGUUGCAGGAAUCUUGAAACUCUCCCCAGCAGCAUGUGUAACUUGAAAUCUCUUGAAAUUCUUGACGUAUCUGGCUGCUCACGCCUAAAGCAAUUCCCAGAAAUCUCGGAGACCAUGGAUCAUUUUGAGUCUCUUAAUCUGGGAGGAACAGCAAUUGAAGAGCUACCGGCAUCAAUUGAUAAUCUAAAAGCUCUUAGGUCACUGAAACUUAAAAAUUGCAGAAAACUUGCUUAUCUUCCAGAAACACUCGGUAACUUAAAAUCUCUCGAUAUGUUACAUCUUCAAAAUUGCAGAAAACUUGGAAAUAUGCCAGCAAGUUUAACAGUUUCUUCGAGUAUACAAGCUAGUGGAUGUUAUAUGUUAAAAUCGGUUUCUGAGCUGAGUAGUUUAUCCUCGAUAUGGAAACUAGACCUUAGCGAUAACAGAUUUGAGUCACUCCCUGGAAGCAUACAACAACUGCACCAAUUGUGGGAACUCGACAUAAGUUUCUGUGAUAGGCUAAAAUCGUUGGUACAUCUUCCUUGGUCUCUACAGUACUUAAAUGCUCAUGACUGCAGAUCAUUAGAAAAUGUAUCUGCCCCUAUACCCUUUUUUGGAUUUGACGACGAUAUGAGCUCUUAUAUUGAAGAAAAGAAAUUUGAAUUUACAAAUUGCGUGAAAUUGGAUCCAAACAAAUCGUGGGGCAAGGUUCUGGCAGAAGUGGAGAAUAGGCUUCAGCGUUCAGCGAGUGUGCUUAAUAAAUUUGAUAGGAGACACGAUACUAGAAGGACGAUGAUGUAUCCUGGAAAUGAAAUUCCAGAGUGGUUUACUUAUACAAGCAUGGGAAAUUCAAUCAAAAUCCCAUAUUGUAAACAUUCUGAUGAUUGCUUGUUUUGUUGGGAUAAGGCUGCCCUAUGCUGUAUUAUCACAUUUCCGGAAAAUUAUCACAUGAAUCCUGACAGCUUGCUGGAAAUCCAAUGCAACUCGUCAAGCUAUGACAAGGAGACUUUCACAAUCAGGAGUUAUAGAUCCACUGCGUCUGUGUAUGCGUCGGACCACGUAGUCUUGUGUUACCCUGUCACAGCUCCACGACGUGAAUACGGCACGGGAGAGGGUCCUUGGUUUGAAAUAGUGAUAUAUGGUGAAGAUAUUUUGGAGGUGAGCAAGUGUGGAAUAUACCCUCUAUGCAGCUGUACACAGAAAUGCAGUCUAAUGCCAAUGGAAGAGAAUGACAAUGAAAAACAAGGAGAUGCCCACUGGAACACCAAUGGUAGGGAAACGGAAGAGGAACCACCAUCUAAAAGACCAAAACAAGCCUAGUUUCUCAUAAAUUACAGGCCGGGCCGGUAUCCGGUGAGGGCAAAUCAUAUUCUUCUUAUCUUCCUUUUAAUCUCCCUUCAUUGAACUUUGGUGGGUCUAAAUUAAACAAGCAAGAACAUGAUUUAAUGACACUUCAAUUACUUCCUGUUAGAUGGGGUAGUAAAGGAAAUCCUUUGCUAAAUGCAUUGGCUAACAAUGACUAUGGAAAGGCUAAAGUUUUAACUAAUGCUGUGAGGAUAAUGUAUGAUAAAGAGAGAGUGGUAGAUCAAGAGGCUCCGGAUUUAUUAGUUAUCUAUUUGGAAACGCGAUCGGUGAUGCAAACUUUUCGUUAUAUUUCUCUGCAUCAAUGAUAUGACAGCGAGUUUACAUAUGGCCGCAGGAUUGGGAUGGUGGAUAUGGAAACAAGCAAUGAUUCAACAAAGAAAGCUCCAUUCAGCUUCAGAUCUUCCUCCAGUCUCCAGCUCCACGAUGUCCGCUCACUAUCAGGCUCGACAAUCCUCUUGGUAAUGGGAUUGUUGUUCCAGUUACUGUAGUUUGUUUUAGAGAAGGGAAUAUUGUGACUCAAAGUAUGACUAUUCAGAUUGGUUAUAGAAGGGUUUGGGAUAUGAAGCUGAGGAAGCCUGAAUUGGAUCAUUCGGAAAAGACUGGUGUUAUACAUAUGAUAAAUUUUCUUUAAAUGUUUUAAAAAGACUUGAAUAGGUUGAAACUUUGCAUUGAGGGCAGAGAUUUAUGUUUGAUAGACUUGAUAACAAAAGAAAUCUUCAAAAAUUGGAUACUCUUUGGACACAAAAUCAUGGUUCAAAGUUGGGUAUGUCAGGAAUCUAAGCUUGAAUGUAAA